AGAGUAAUGUUUGUUGUAAACGGCGGCGUUAACGUGAGCGUCCUAAGGUAGCGCGAUAAUUUGCUUUUCAAUUGAAGGAUGGUAUGAAAGGGUUAACGAAGAAGGUGCUGUGUCUAAAAAUUCAAUUUAAACUAACUUUAAGGUGAAGAGGCCUUUAUGUAAAAGAAGGACGACAAGACCCUAUGAAGCUUUAUCUUAAUUGGAGCUUUCAGGCUCUUAUACGAUUUUGAUGGGAGAUCAGUAGAAAUAAGUCCUCUACUAUUAUAUUAAUCUUACUAGUAUUUCCUAACUUUAUAUGUGUGACUAGCUACUCUAGGGAUAACAGCGCAAUUUCUCCCGAAAGAUGGUAUUGGAGGGGAAGAUUGCGACCUCGAUGUUGGCUUUAGAUACCCUAGA
rnacentral:rRNA from 1 species